rnacentral:tRNA from 1 species
GCCCUCGUAGCUCAGCGGAUAGAGCGUCUCCCUGCGGAGGAGAAGGUCGCACGUUCAAAUCGUGUCGAGGGUGCCA